rnacentral:rRNA from 1 species
CCUACGGGAGGCAGCAGUAGGGAAUCUUCCGCAAUGGACGAAAGUCUGACGGAGCGACGCCGCGUGAGCGAAGAAGGCCUUCGGGUCGUAAAGCUCUGUUGUGAGGGACGAAGGAGCGCCGUUUGAACAAGGCGGCGCGGUGACGGUACCUCACGAGAAAGCCCCGGCUAACUACGUGCCAGCAGCCGCGGUAAU